rnacentral:lncRNA from 1 species
CUUCUAAUGUAUGUUUCUUUUAAAGUCAUGGUUUGAUUUUUGAACCAUUAAGAAUGUUCAAAUGUUUGGAAGGCAGAAAAUAUACUAAAGCAUUAACAGUGACUAUCCCGUCACGCUUUCUUUUCUCUUAGAUUUUUAUGAUCAAAGGAAACACUUUUUAGAAAUGAUCUUUGGCGACCUAUUUCCACUAGGUCGUCGGGAAGGAGAGCCAGGAAGCAGACUGCUGCUACGAAGAUGACGAUGCGUCUGUUUUUGGAUAGCAAAGACCUGAACACAGAGGGUUUGGGGAUGCUGUGCGGAAAGCACACGAAAGGACGAGGCCAGAGUUCCGGGCGGAGAACUGGGAUCGGGCGCCAGGCUCGCACUCUGUGGCCCGCCCAGAAGUGCAAGGAGUGAUGAGAAAAGGGGAUGCUGGUCUGUAGCGGGUACCACGCCAAGUAUACAAGCGGGUACCACGCCAAGGAUACAGCAGAGCCCGACCUCCUCCCGGAAGCUCGUCACACCUCUCUCACAGGCUCCGAGGUGGGCGGGGAGGCGAGCACCGGAAGGGGCGGUGCUUUGGGCGGGGCCUGAGCGGGGCUCUCGCGAGAGCAGUGGAGAGCGGAAGCGCAGUGUGUACAGGAUGCGGUUCCUAGCUGCGUUGCUCCUGCUGAGUGUCGCAGUGGCGGCCCAGCCGCCUGCGUCGCCGCCAGUCCCGAAACCAAGUUCCAGCACCGGGCAACGGACGGCUGCGCCUCAGUCACCUGCGGACGGCGGCGCCUGCAGCCCCUCCCCCGCGACCCCGCUGUCUCGUUCGGGAGAUCCGCGGCCUCGGUCGGGGGAGCCACCCGCGGGAGCAGACCGAGGCCCGUCGGAGGCGCGCGGGCAGCCGCCCCCGAAACCACAGCCUCACAAGUCGGAAGCGCAGCAGCCCCCACAGAACCCAAACUCUGACAGUUCGCGAGCUCUGCAGCAGUCCUCCCGGAAGCUAGCGCCCCCCAAGUCCGAGGCGCCGCAGUCUCUGAAGCCAAACCCAGACGGGUCGGAGUUGAAAGAGCAAACCCCCAAGAACGCAGAACCUGGCACGCUAGAGGCCCAGGAGUCCCCAAAACCGGACUCCAGCAGGGCCGAGGCGCCGCAGUCCACUCAACCAGACCCAGACGGGGCGCAGGCGCGGCAGCCGCCCCCAGGACAAGACCCCGGUAGGUCCGAAGAGCCGCAGACCGCAAAACCAAACCCCAGCAAGGUGGACGCGGUGCCGCAGUCCACACAAGAAGGCUCCAAGCGCGUGUCCAACCCCUCCGCUGGCAGCAAGGGCGGCCCGGAGAUUGAAAAAACCCAACUGCCUGAGAAGGGAGAGACCUCGCCCCGCGCGUCCCAGGCUGAAGAGACAGUGGACUCCAACCCCUCUGGUCCCGGGCAGGAGGGAGAAGACAAAUCUGCAGAGACUGUUCAAGAUGUGGACGUCAAGGAGGCGGAAGAAGGCGAUGCAGGGGCGGAGGAGGGAUCGCCUCCUGAAGAAGAGAAAGGAAAGAUGCCAGGGCCUGCCUCCAGUGAAACCCGGGAAGGGACACUUUUGGAUUCCGUGAAUAGUGAGAAGGGCGACCUUUAUAAUACCCCUAGAAGUGCCAGUGCGGAGAGCAGCCACUUCUUCGCGUAUCUGGUGACCGCAGCCAUUCUUGUCGCUGUCCUCUAUAUUGCCUAUCACAACAAGCGGAAGAUUAUUGCUUUUGCCCUGGAAGGAAAAAGAUCCAAGGUCACUCGGCGACCCAAAGCCAGUGACUACCAGCGUUUGAACCUCAAGCUUUGAUUUGUAACUACAAGAACCUUGUCCUCCCUGCUGAUUUGUUUCCGAAUCAAGAAAAAUGAAGAAAAAAGCAAUGUGACCUCGGGGUUUGAUGGCAGAAGUCUGGCAGAG